GACGAACGCUGGCGGCGUGCUUAACACAUGCAAGUCGAACGGAAAGGCCCUUCGGGGUACUCGAGUGGCGAACGGGUGAGUAACACGUGGGUGAUCUGCCCUGCACUUUGGGAUAAGCCUGGGAAACUGGGUCUAAUACCGAAUAUGAUCAUCAGCUUCAUGGUUGGUGGUGGAAAGCUUUUGCGGUGUGGGAUGGGCCCGCGGCCUAUCAGCUUGUUGGUGGGGUAAUGGCCUACCAAGGCGACGACGGGUAGCCGGCCUGAGAGGGUGACCGGCCACACUGGGACUGCGCUACGGCCCAGACUCCUACGGGAGGCAGCAGGGGGGAAUAUUGCACAAUGGGCGCAAGCCUGAUGCAGCGACGCCGCGUGAGGGAUGACGGCCUUCGGGUUGUAAACCUCUUUCAGCACAGACGAAGCGCAAGUGACGGUAUGUGCAGAAGAAGGACCGGCCAACUACGUGCCAGCCGCCGCCGUAAGAC
rnacentral:rRNA from 1 species